AAAUAACAACAAGAAUAUAAGAAUAUUUUGAUACUAAAAGGGGUUUGAAAGUACAGUAUAGGUUGCACUUUGUAAAUCACGUGUGAUUUGCAAGUCACGCCUCUUUUGGGGAGAAAUUGAAUGUGCAUAAAAUACUGCUACUGUUUACAUAGUUGUUGCCAUGGAUGCAAAGUAAUUUUUUUUUAAUUAAGACUUGAUUGGAGAAUUAAAUGGAUAUAAAUAAAAAUGUCUAUUUAUUUAACUUAUUUUUCAGGAGGACUGGAAGACAUUUG
rnacentral:lncRNA from 1 species